GCCGUUCAUUCAUUAAUUAUUUAAGUUACAUCCAUAUUUUGGAGUAAUACAGAAUGUGCUGAGAUUAUUUCCAAUAUCGUUCGCUUCCACCAAAUUCGUUGAAAGUCGUUUAUACAUGCUAUCGUGAAGUAAUUUAAAAGUGAUUAUUAUGAUAAAGUUUUAAGUUAUCUAAAAGUAAUAAGAUACUCAGUGUAAUAUUCAUAAUCUUGAAACAUUACAUAAAUUUUUGGGGUUGCAAUAUUGUUGACCACCGAGUCAAAUGUUUCAUUCGGAUUGCCUGAAUUCUUAUUGGGGGGUACUAUCAUACUUGAGUUCCCCUGUGUGUAUUCACCGACCAACACUUUGGCGUAAUACAUGUAGCGAAAACCCUGCGAGUCUGGAGGCGAGUAGGUUUCUUGGCAGGAAUAUCUGGCGUCUAGGGCGAAGUAAACACCUCUGCCAAAGGAAGUGGC
rnacentral:lncRNA from 1 species